CUAAGUUAAGAAUCCAAGCAAGCAAAAAAUGUGUUUCAAUUGGUGGGUAUUGUGUUCCAAUUGUUGGUUUAUCUCUUUUAAUACUUACCCAUAAAAAAGAAGUUAUAUAUUCUUACACUAUUGGCCUCUCCACUAGUCUAACUGUUAAUUUAAAUUUAUUUCUUUACAUAGCACUUAGUUGGCUCGAUAUUUACUUACAUAUAAGCUAGAUUGAUGACGGCCAAGAACCUUUAUUUGAGUUUGUUGUGUGACUUUUCUUUUUGUUGAUGGUGCUUGGUUAACCAAGUUUGAUGACUUUAUACGGCAAGUCUGUGUUGGUCUUUUCUAGUUGUGGUUGGAGGCAGGGGUGGCCUUGAAGGUGUGCAAGUGGUGCCACCGCAUAGGGCCCCUAAUUUUUUAGGGGUCCCAAAUUUUUUUCAUGUGUAUAAUAUAUGUAGAGUGCUGCUAUUUUCACUCACCUCAUAUUUUUCCACCCACCUUAUUUUAAAAAAUUUAAAGACAAAUUUAUCCCUAUGUAAAAUGACUUCUAAAACCCUAAAAAUAAAACAAAUUUUAAAAAGAAAAUAAAUUUUUUCUUUUACUCUCCAUAUUCUUUCCAUCUUCCUGACCUCAACAAAUUCAACGAGCAUUGAUCUACCCAUCCCAAUCCUUUGAAAAGUUUUUUAAAAAAAAAUUCAAAUCAAAUUCUCAACUCCACCUUUAAUAUUGUGUCAGGGUUGGUAGGUGUUGAUAAUAGAGGCCAAAUUGUCCUUUAAUUUUAUUCCAUUUUAAAGAUUUUUUAGUCUGAUUAACCCACAUACGGGUCCUUAUUCCAUAUAACAUCACUUCAAUUAAAAAUCCAUUGUAGUCUUGUUGGUUGUAUGUUGUUGUGGUGGUGGUGUCGUGGUCAUGAAGCCACCAGUACUGCUAAGGGGUUGAUGAGAAUAUUAAUAUGGUAGGGUAAGGUCGUGAUGUUGAAAACACAUGAAGAAGAUGAAAAAUGCUUUUUUUUUUUUUUGGGGUUAAAAUAUUUAUGUUUUUAACUUGGAGUUGAUGAUGUUUAGUCGAAUUAAUAAUUAAAGGGUAUUUUAGGAAUAAUGGUGGGUGGAAAAGUAGGAUUUUAAUUUUUCAAAUUUAUAUAGUGGGUGAGAAAAUAGGACAGGUGAGUGGAAAUAGCAGCACUCUAUAUGUAUAAUAAAUGUUAUAUAUAUACAGAAUGAGCAAAUUGUUGACACAAAGACGUUUCUAGUUGUGCUGGUUUGUAGGGCCUCAACUUCUAUUCAAGACUUGACUUCAAAACCUGCUUGUGUUAAAGGCUUGUCCGAUGUCAACACCAACAUUCAAUAUCCCAUCUACUUUCACAACUACAAACUAAAAUAAUAAAUACCCGAUCACAAUGAUUGGUGUGGAUUCCUUUUUUUUUUUCAGGUCAUGUUCAUAUAAAAGAACUAUCUUUCUUCUUGAAAUUAUAAGUAAAAAUAAUUAUGAUAAUAUAAUUAUUUUUCAUAUAAUCCUUAGUAGUGGGAAUGGGCAGAACUUACCCUUCAAUCAUGUAAAUGAGUUAUUCCUCGGUGGGAUCUCAAAUGUGGUUGUCAUUGAUUUCUUCGGUUCUAGCAGUGGUGGAUCCAGGAUUCUCAAGUCAUAGGAUCACAGUGUAAAAGUGUCAAAAAAAUUUAGGCUAAAUUGUGAAGGCGUUUUGUAGAACAAAUGAGUCAUUUCCUACCAUUUAUUAUUUUUUAAAUGCAAAAAUAAUAAUAAAUUUAAAAUAAAUAAAACACACACACACACACUAAUACUCUACCAUGAACCCCAACCUACCCUAGAAACCCUCUAAUAAGCGGAAGAAGUUUUUUUUUUUUUUUUUUUUUUGGAGAACCCCUUUAUAGAUAAAUUCAUCACUAAAAUUUAAGAUUUUGAGCUAUCUCUUCUUCCUUUUCUUUCUCUAUCUUUUAAAAUUUUCAAAUAAUUAUUUCCUACGAAUCAUUUGUAAUUUCUAAAUAAAAAUCUCAAUAAUCACAUCAACACAUAAUAAAGCUAGAAACAAUAAUAAUAAAUCAACUUUUUAGAGCAAUAAUUUAAUUAAGGGAGACUUUGGAAAAACCCAAAGGAGAGAGAAAUUUUUUAAAAGAAGUCAAAAUGGACAAAAUUGCCCUUAUUUAUUUUUGGAUUUCUUAAUGAAUCCUUUACAUUUGCAUGUCUUUGAUUUGAAA
rnacentral:lncRNA from 1 species